GGAUCUGUGGUGUAAUGGUAGCGUGUCUGACUCCAUAUUAGAAUGUUGCGUGUUCAAUUCACAUCGGGUUCA
rnacentral:tRNA from 1 species